UGCUACAGGAUUUAAAGUUCUGCAACAGCCACAAUUAGUAUUGUUCCAUUUUGGAAGGAAACAGAAAUAUACAACUCAGAGCAAUCUCCUACAAGGGGAGCCAACUCCCAUCUUGAACAGUAUGAAAGGAGUCCAUGUCAAAUCUCACUUUAUACAGCAUGUUUCUCACCCUUGGCCACUUUAAGAUGUGUGGACUUCAACUCCCAGGAUUCCCCAGCCAGUUUUGCAUGAGCCAACAGUUUUUCAAUUCCAAGUCUUCUCAGGAAAAUCAACUGAAAAACACGAACGAGUUCCUGACUAGCAAACAACAGCAAGAUGGAAAUCUCCUUUUUCCUCUUCGUCGAUUAGUUAUGCAGAACAGACUUGAAUGUUCCCCAGUGUUAAUCCAAUGAUAAUCUCCUCCAAUAUUUAUUCUCAGCACCUGCCCAGAAGACAAAAUGUUUCUGAACACUUUAAUCCUUUGGGUUCUCUCUCUAAUGUGGCCAAAGUUACAUAAAGGCAGAUUUUAUUUUCAAACCCAAAGUUUGGUUUCCAUAAGCAAAGGAGUAGGAACGGGACAAGGUUCCAGUUCAUCCCGUGCCCUCGCUCAGAAAGGAUUAGGGCGGCCAAGCUGUUAGAUUAGUGACCCAGUUUUGCACCCUGAGCUCUGAUCCAUAUGCAAUUUCUUUCUACCCACCUUCUCCCAUCAGCCAGAACAACCUGCGGUGCCACUGAUUUCGCAAAUGAGAUUGUCUCGGCUGGAUUGUAUGGAUUUACUGCCCUGCUGACUAAUUAGCUCUCUUGGCUUCUGAGUAAACUCUGAUCUUUGCAGACUGAGGUCUGUCCUGAAUUUCAGCUAUGGAGAUCUGGGGGGCAGAAGAGAAAAAAAUUGAGGGGGGUCCUUCUGGAGGAAGGUGGCUAAGGUUUUCUGACCAGGUUAGUACCUGGAUGAGAGCCCAUCAGGAAACCCCAGAUCUGUAGGGUACAUCGGGAAAGGAGGAGGAGAUGGAUGAGGUGAAGAAGAAGAUAGGGGGGAGGAGGAGGGGGAAGAGGAGGAGGCGUUUAUUGAUAAGAAAACUGCACGGAGAUGUUCAUGAAGACACCAGACAUUGAGUUCAACUUGGAAAAAACUUGACUUUUUAAGAUGCAUUACAGUCUAAAGCAGAGACCACUCAUAAUUCAGUUUAUUUAUUUACUUGUUUAACUCAUACUCUGCCUAAUAUUUGGAUGGGAACACCAGCAAAUCCCAGGGUUGUAGGCUAGUCAGGAAAACAUGCCAGAAAAGGCAAUUGCGAAUCACUUCCCUCUUGAUGCCAAGAAAACAAUAUGGGCGGGCAUAUCAAGUCACAGAAUCAUAGCUAGAGAUUGGACAAGCCAUUUUUAAGACAAACCCUGAUUGUUGUUUAAGUUGUGCUUAAAAUGAGGAUGUAGGAAUUCUAGGCAUAAAACUGAGGAGUUUCUAUACUUUUUAAGCUUUUCGUACAAAUGUAAAUUUCUCUUUCAAGGAGAAGGGGGAACGGUAAGACUCCCUAAUGCGUCCUCUCUUAUCUUGCCGCCAACCAGAUGUGUCGCACUGCAAUUUCCAGCAGGGCCAUGCAAGUAGAAAUCCUGAAAUGCUCAGAACCCAAAACUCUUCAGAUUCUCUUCAUAUGAUUUCUUCUAUAGCAAGCUUUCUGUAAUGGUAGGUGGGAAAGAUCUUGGGAGAUGAGGUGAAGAGAUGCUGCCCAAGGAACAG